GUGGGGAAUAUUGGGCAAUGGGCGCAAGCCUGACCCAGCAACGCCGCGUGAAGGAAGAAGGCUUUCGGGUUGUAAACUUCUUUUACCAGGGACGAAACAAAUGACGGUACCUGGAGAAUAAGCCACGGCUAACUACGUGCCAGCAGCCGCGGUAAUACGUAGGUGGCAAGCGUUGUCCGGAUUUACUGGGUGUAAAGGGCGCGUAGGCGGGAGAGCAAGUCAGGAGUGAAAUCUAUGGGCUUAACCCAUAAAUUGCUUUUGAAACUGUUUUUCUUGAGUGAUGGAGAGGCAAGCGGAAUUCCUAGUGUAGCGGUGAAAUGCGUAGAUAUUAGGAGGAACACCAGUGGCGAAGGCGGCUUGCUGGACAUUAACUGACGCUGAUGCGCGAAAGCGUGGGGAGCAAACAGGAUUAGAUACCCGGGUAGUCC
rnacentral:rRNA from 1 species